rnacentral:rRNA from 1 species
GACGAACGCUGGCGGCGUGCUUAACACAUGCAAGUCGAACGGAAAGGCCCUGCUUGCAGGGUACUCGAGUGGCGAACGGGUGAGUAACACGUGGGUGAUCUGCCCUGCACUUCGGGAUAAGCUUGGGAAACUGGGUCUAAUACCGGAUAGGAACCAUCUUUAGUGUGGUGGUUGGAAAGUUUUUUCGGUGUAGGAUGAGCUCGCGGCCUAUCAGCUUGUUGGUGGGGUAAUGGCCUACCAAGGCGGCGACGGGUAGCCGGCCUGAGAGGGUGUACGGCCACAUUGGGACUGGGAUACGGCGCAGACUCCUCCGGGGGGCAGCAGUGGGGAAUAUUGCACAAUGGGCGCGAGCCUGAUGCAGCGACGCCGCGUGGGGGAUGAAGGCCGUCGGGUUGUAAACUCCUUUCGCUAGGGACGAAGCUUUGUUGUGACGGUACCUAGAUAAGAAGCACCGGCUAACUACGUG